rnacentral:rRNA from 1 species
CCUACGGGAGGCAGCAGUGAGGAAUAUUGGUCAAUGGGCGCGAGCCUGAACCAGCCAAGUCGCGUGAGGGAAGACGGUCCUAUGGAUUGUAAACCUCUUUUGUCGGGGAGCAAAAGACGCCACGCGUGGCGUUCCGAGAGUACCCGACGAAAAAGCAUCGGCUAACUCCGUGCCAGCAGCCGCGGUAAUACGGAGGAUGCGAGCGUUAUCCGGAUGUAUUGGGUGUAAAGGGUGCGCAGGCGGAAGAUCAAGUCAGCGGUAAAAUUGAGGGGCUCAACCUCGUCGAGCCGUUGAAACUGGUUUUCUGGAGUGGGCGAGAAGUAGGCGGAAUGCGUGGUGUAGCGGUGAAAUGCAUAGAUAUCACGCAGAACUCCGAUUGCGAAGGCAGCAUACCGGCGCGCAACUGACGCUCAUGCACGAAAGUGUGGGUAUCGAACAGGAUUAGAUACCCCGGUAGUC